CAUUACCUCCUAAAGCAGGCAGCAAUCAGACGGAGACGCGUGCCGCUGUGCGCUAGUGGCUGUAGCAAUCACCUUACACUACUGCUAUACCUAUACCUAGAUAGGAGCGGCGGCCAGACCAUCGCGCGGCCAUGGUGGCCUGCUGGCACCAGCAGCUAGGGCUGCUCGUCGCGGCGGCGGCGGCGCUGCUCAUGACGCAGCUGCUGCUGGUGUCUGCGAUGUCGGACGUGCCCGGUGCCAUCACCUUCGACGACGGCUUCACGCCGCUCUUCGGGGAGGCCAACAUGGAGCGCUCCCCCGACGGCCGCACCGUCAGCCUCACGCUCAACCGCUACUCCGGCGCAGGCUUCAUCUCCUCCCACUACUACCACCACGGGUUCUUCAGCGCAGACAUCAGGCUGCCAAAGGACCACACCGCCGGCGUAGUCGUCGCAUUCUACCUGUCCAACGGCGACGUCUUCGAGAAGAACCACGACGAGCUUGACUUCGAGUUCCUUGGCAACCGGCGGCGGCACGAGUGGCGGCUGCAGACGAACGUGUACGGCAACGGCAGCACCGACCGUGGCCGCGAGGAGCGGUACCUGAUGCCCUUCGACCCGACCCUGGAGGCGCACCGCUUCUCCAUCCUCUGGUCCUCCCGCGUGGUCAUCUUCUACGUGGACGGCGUGGCGGUCCGCGAGGUGCCCCGCUCCGGCGCCAUGGGCGGCGACUACCCGUCCAAGCCCAUGGCGCUCUACGCCACCAUCUGGGACGGCUCCACCUGGGCCACCGACAACGGCCGCUACAAGGUCAACUACAAGCGCGGGCCCUUCACGGCCGACUUCUCCGACCUCGUGCUCCGCGGCUGCCCGGCCGCCGCCGCCAGGCGCGACGACCCAGCGGCGCUGCAGCUCCAGCAGCUGGGCUCGGACGAGGACGACCGGUGCGCGGGCUCCGAGUUCGAGCUGAUGACGGCGGAGUACGCCAUCAUGACGCCGCGGAAGCGGAUGGAGAUGCGGCGGUGGCGGCAGCGGCAGAUGCUCUACACGGUGUGCUACGACACCAACCGGUACCCGGCGCCGUUCCCCGAGUGCGACGUCAACAUGGAGGAGCGCCAGAAGUUCUGGGAGUGGGGCGAGUCCAAGGUGGUGCGGCCCCGCGUCCGCGCCAGCUCCGGCAGCAGGCGGCGCGCCGCCACAGCAACGACGCAGCAGGUGUCGCUGCAGCAGGCCGACUGAUGAUUGCAUUCUGGCCUGACCUGAUCUGUGAAGGCACACCACUAAAUAUUUUAAUGAACUCCAUCGAUUUUGGAUCUUUCCAGCACUCUUUAGAGUUGGGGAAGGUGAACCUCCCCCUCUUGGGAUCCGGUUGCAACUCCAAAAGAAGGCUCCAAGGUCAAUACUCAAUGCUGCUAGAAAGGCAUAGGACAAGGCCAUGGUUUGAGUAUAAGAGGAUUUAUCAUGCUAUUUUGUCCUGCAUCAUCAUAAGUUACCUACCUAUUGGAUUUUGAGAAUAAGCCUUAUCAGUUUUGUUUAUUUGUUGCUUUGGCAAUCUUUCAAACAUAACUCAAUAGGUCUCUUAUGUAAAGACUCGCACCUGGGUAUUUCUUUUCA